AACGAACGCUGGCGGCAUGCCUAACACAUGCAAGUCGAACGAGACCUUCGGGUCUAGUGGCGGACGGGUGAGUAACGCGUGGGAACCUGCACUUCAGUGGGGGAUAACGACGGGAAACUGUCGCUAAUACCGCAUACGCCCUACGGGGGAAAGAUUUAUCGCUGAAGGAUGGGCCCGCGUCGGAUUAGCUAGUUGGUGAGGUAAUGGCUCACCAAGGCGACGAUCCGUAGCUGGUCUAAGAGGAUGAUCAGCCACACUGGGACUGAGACACGGCCCAGACUCCUACGGGAGGCAGCAGUGGGGAAUAUUGGACAAUGGGGGAAACCCUGAUCCAGCAAUGCCGCGUGAGUGAUGAAGGCCUUAGGGUUGUAAAGCUCUUUCGGUGGUGACGAUGAUGACGGUAACCACAGAAGAAGCCCCGGCUAACUUCGUGCCAGCAGCCGCCGCUGUAA
rnacentral:rRNA from 1 species